rnacentral:rRNA from 1 species
UACAGAGGUCUCAAGCGUUGUUCGGAUUCAUUGGGCAUAAAGGGCGCGUAGGCGGCGGGGUAAGUCGGGUGUGAAAUCUCAGAGCUCAACUCUGAAACUGCACUCGAUACUGCUCUGCUUGAGGACUGGAGAGGAGACUGGAAUUCACGGUGUAGCAGUGAAAUGCGUAGAUAUCGUGAGGAAGACCAGUGGCGAAGGCGGGUCUCUGGACAGUUCCUGACGCUGAGGCGCGAAGGCCAGGGGAGCAAACGGG